UACAGAGGGUGCGAGCGUUGUUCGGAAUUACUGGGCGUAAAGCGCGCGCAGGCGGUCCUUUAAGUCUACCCGUGAAAUGCCGGAGCUCAACUCCGUGCACGCCGGGGGAUACUGGGGGACUGGAGACAUGUAGAGGCAAGCGGAAUUCCGGGUGUAGCGGUGGAAUGCGUAGAUAUCCGGAAGAACACCUGAGGCGAAGGCGGCUUGCUGGGCAUGAUCUGACGCUGAGGCGCGAAAGCUAGGGGAGCAAACGGG
rnacentral:rRNA from 1 species